rnacentral:tRNA from 1 species
GCCCGGGUAGCCCAACAGGCAGGAGGCACACCGCUCAGAACGGUGGCAGUGCGCGUUCGAAUCGCGCUCCGGGUAC